rnacentral:rRNA from 1 species
CACGGAGCUUGCUCUGUGGGAUCAGUGGCGAACGGGUGAGUAACACGUGAGCAACCUGCCCCUGACUCUGGGAUAAGCGCUGGAAACGGCGUCUAAUACUGGAUAUGUGACGUGACCGCAUGGUCUGCGUCUGGAAAGAACUUCGGUUGGGGAUGGGCUCGCGGCCUAUCAGCUUGUUGGUGAGAUAAUGGCUCACCAAGGCGUCGACGGGUAGCCGGCCUGAGAGGGUGACCGGCCACACUGGGACUGAGACACGGCCCAGACUCCUACGGGAGGCAGCAGUGGGAAUAUUGCACAAUGGGCGCAAGCCUGAUGCAGCAACGCCGCGUGAGGGACGACGGCCUUCGGGUUGUAAACCUCUUUUAGCAGGGAAGAAGCGAAAGUGACGGUACCUGCAGAAAAAGCGCCGGCUAACUACGUGCCAGCAGCCGCGGUAAUACGUAGGGCGCAAGCGUUACCCGGAAUUAUUGGGCGUAAAGAGCUCGUAGGCGGUUUGUCGCGUCUGCUGUGAAAUCCGGAGGCUCAACCUCCGGCCUGCAGUGGGUACGGGCAGACUAGAGUGCGGUAGGGGAGAUUGGAAUUCCUGGUGUAGCGGUGGAAUGCGCAGAUAUCAGGAGGAACACCGAUGGCGAAGGCAGAUCUCUGGGCCGUAACUGACGCUGAGGAGCGAAAGGGUGGGGAGCAAACAGGCUUAGAUACCCUGGUAGUCCACCCCGUAAACGUUGGGAACUAGUUGUGGGGUCCAUUCCACGGAUUCCGUGACGCAGCUAACGCAUUAAGUUCCCCGCCUGGGGAGUACGGCCGCAAGGCUAAAACUCAAAGGAAUUGACGGGG